ensembl:snRNA U6 U6 spliceosomal RNA
GUGCUUACUUUGGUAGAACUUAUGCUAACAUUAGAACAAUACCGAGAAGAUUAGCAUGACCUCUACACAAGGAUGACAUGCAAAUUUGUGAAGCUUUCCAUAUUAAA